CCUACGGGAGGCAGCAGUGGGGGAUAUUGCACAAUGGGGGGAACCCUGAUGCAGCGACGCCGCGUGGGUGAAGGAGUGCUUCGGCAUGUAAAGCCCUAUCGGCAGGGAAGAAGCAAGACGGUACCUGACUAAGAAGACCCGGCUAAAUACGUGCAAGCAGCCGCGGUAAAACGUAGGGGGCGAGCGUUAUCCGGAUUCACUGGGUGUAAAGGGAUCGUAGACGGCCAUGCAAGCCAGGGGUGAAACCCCGGGGCCCAACCCCGGGACUGCCCUUGGGACUGAGCGGCUAGAGUGAGGGAGGGGCAGGCGGAAUUCCUGGUGUAGCGGUGAAAUGCGUAGAGAUCAGGAGGAACACCGGCGGCGAAGGCGGCCUGCUGGACCGCGACUGACGUUGAGGCUCGAAAGCGUGGGGAGCGAACAGGAUUAGAUACCCCAGUAGUC
rnacentral:rRNA from 1 species